CAUCCCUCCGGUGCUCAGAAACUUAUCUACCUUCUUUGUUUCUAGAGUUCCUGCUACUCUUGAUGAUGCCUUUUGGGAGUCCUCCAUUUGACCUCCCUGAGUGAGAACUGAUGGGGACACUGCUGUUGAUGAAGCUGCUGAUUCAAGAGUCUUCAAAGGCCACUGUCUCACAUCAUUGUAGGCUUAAGAGAGAGAGAGAGGGAGAGCGAGCGAGCACAGGCAGACAGAAUGGCAGGCAGAGGCAGAGGAAGAAGCUGGCUCCCAGCCCAGCAAGGAGCACGAUGUGGGACUCGAUCCCAGGAUGCUGGGAUCAUGACCUGAGCCGAAGGCAGCUGCCUAACCAACUGAGCCACCCAGGUGUCCCAGUUUCCUGUCUACUUGACUCCCCCACCUCUACCCGACCCACUGAUUCCCUGACUGACCUCGUCCAAGGUACAACCUUAUGAUCUCAACUUGUCUUUUCAGCAGAGAUACACCUCAUCUAUAUUGUUUUGUUUUCCUUCUCUCUGACUCUGUGUGUGUGUGUGUGUGUGUGUAUGUGUGUUAUAUGUGUCAUGAGCUCCUAUAUCCUCUCCUGCCCUCACGGCCUUUCUUCUGAUUUUCC
rnacentral:lncRNA from 1 species